UGCAUUCACUACUGUAAGUCGCUCUGGAUAAGAGCGUCUGCUAAAUUACUAAAU
rfam:Salmo salar isolate Sally breed double haploid chromosome ssa05, whole genome shotgun sequence.